rnacentral:misc_RNA from 1 species
GAUGAAGAACGUAGUGAAAUGCGAUACGUAAUGUGAAUUGCAAAUUCAGUGAAUCAUCGAGUCUUUGAACGCACAUUGCGCCCCCUGGUAUUCCGGGGGGCAUGCCUGUCCGAGCGUCAUUGCUGCCCUCAAGCACGGCUUGUGUGUUGGGCCCCGUCCUCCGAUCCCGGGGGACGGGCCCGAAAGGCAGCGGCGGCACCGCGUCCGGUCCUCGAGCGUAUGGGGCUUUGUCACCCGCUCUGUAGGCCCGGCCGGCGCUUGCCGAUCAACCCAAAUUUUUAUCCAGGUUGACCUCGGAUCAGGUAGGGAUACCCGCUGAACUUAAGCAUAUCAAUAGCGGAGGA